rnacentral:rRNA from 1 species
AAUAGCCUAACGGCUGAACCAGCAACUUGGAGGAAUGAAUAGCAAUAGCUAAUUGUAUAUAUAUGGUGCAAUAUCGACUUAGUCGAAUAAAAUUCUGGUUAGAAUUAUGAUAAUGACAUUGUCUAGCCAUAUGUCUUGACCAAAUUACGUGCCAGCAGUCGCGGUAAUACGUAAAAGACUAGUGUUAUUCAUCUUUAAUUGGUUUAAAGGGUACCCAGACGGUAAAUCAAGCCCUUGCCUUGCAAGAUGGGACUAAUUUGCUAGAGUUACUUACGCGGGGGCUUUAAAGUACUAAUGGUGUAGAGAUGAAAUUUAGUAAUACCAUUUUUCGAAAGAAAAGUGACGGCACUGGUAAAGGCGAAAGCAUCCCCUUAUGUGAUAACUGACGUUGAAGGACGAAGGCUUUGGAUCGCAAAUAGGAUUAGAUACCCUAGUAGUCAAAGCAGACAAUUAUGAGUGUCAUAGAUUAGAAAUUAAUUUUAUUCUAUAAAUGAAAGUGUAAGCACUCCACCUCAAGAGUAAUUUGGCAACAUUGGAACUGAAAUCAUUAGACCGUUUCUGAAACCAGUAGUGAAGUAUGUUGUUUAAUUUGAUAAUCCACAAAAAACCUUACCACAGCUUGAAUAUUUAUAUUUUUGAUAUAUUUACAGGAGUUGCACGGCUGUCUUCAGUUAAUGUCGUGAGACUUUGGUUAGAUCCAUUAAAUUAACGCAAGCCCUUACUUUAUUUUAAAAUAAAGUAGUUCCCCACUAUAUUGGAUAUGAUAACAGGGACUAAGACAAGUCAUCAUGGCCUGAAUGCUGU